rnacentral:rRNA from 1 species
UACGGGGGGGACAAGCGUUGUUCGGAAUUACUGGGCGUAAAGGGCUCGUAGGCGGCCAACUAAGUCAAACGUGAAAUCCCUCGGCUUAACCGGGGAACUGCGUCUGAUACUGGAUGGCUUGAGUUUGGGAGAGGGAUGCGGAAUUCCAGGUGUAGCGGUGAAAUGCGUAGAUAUCUGGAGGAACACCGGUGGCGAAGGCGGCAUCCUGGACCAACACUGACGCUGAGGAGCGAAAGCCAGGGGAGCAAACGGG